rnacentral:rRNA from 1 species
UACAGAGGGUGCAAGCGUUGUUCGGAAUUACUGGGCGUAAAGUGUGCGCAGGUGGCCGCGCAAGUCGAGUGUGAAAUCCCCGAGCUUAACUUGGGAAUUGCGCUCGAAACUACGUGGCUCGAGUGUGGCAGAGGAAGGUGGAAUUCCGACGUGUAGCGGUGAAAUGCGUAGAGAUGAUGGAGGAAGCACCGAUGGCGAAGGCAGCCUUCG